AAACAAGUGAUGCAGGAGCGAGUAAGUUUAUUGUCGUAUACAGGAAGGGUCAUAUUUACUGAAAAUGACCUUGCGUAUGAUUUGCUGAAAUUCCCUCCGAAGACUCCUAUCCGGAACUAAAGUAUGGAUAGUCGGCUGAAGCCGUUAUAUUAAUGAAGCUGGGAAACAAUAUUAAUAAUGUUUCCAAUUAGGGUGGUAACGCGAGCCUUCGUCCCUUUA
rnacentral:ncRNA from 1 species